AACGAACGCUGGCGGCAGGCCUAACACAUGCAAGUCGAGCGAGGCAUUCGGGUCUAGCGGCGGACGGGUGAGUAACGCGUGGGAACGUGCGCUUUUCUACGGAAUAGCCUCGGGAAACUGAGCGUAAUACCGUAUACGCCUGUUGGGGGAAAGAUUUAUCGGAGAAGGAUCGGCCCGCGUUGGAUUAGGUAGUUGGUGGGGUAAUGGACUACCAAGCCGACGAUCCAUAGCUGGUUUGGGAGGAUGAUCAGCCACACUGGGACUGAGACACGGCCCAGACUCCUACGGGAGGCAGCAGUGGGGACUCUUAGACAAUGGGGGCAACCCUGAUCGAGCCAUGCCGCGUGAGUGAUGAAGGCCUUAGGGUUGUAAAGCUCUUUCAGCUGGGAAGAUAAUGACGGUACCAGCAGAAGAAGCCCCGGCUAACUCCGUG
rnacentral:rRNA from 1 species